GGGUAAUUCGAAAGGACGUGCUGCUUAGAAAAUGAAUAUUUUUGUUGAUGCAUACAUUCCUUUGUCUAGAUCGUUAAUCUGUAACUACGUAGAAUCGUUAACUGCGUAGCUGCUUGUGCCAUCGGCUCAUGUGUCCCCCCUUCCCCCGUCACUUUGUAAGUUACUCGACGAAACUAAGGUACAAGGAGUCAUUUAGUCGUCUUAUUUCAUACAGAUAACAUGGAUCGCGUUGCGUCAGGUUUGCAACGUAUUGUAACGUAUUGGCGGCGUCGGUCGUUUAUUACUCCAAUAAUUUAAUCCAAUAAUCACACGCGAAAAGUCAGUGCAUCUCUCAAGAGAACAAAGAUUCUGCAGGAGCUCAAGAAUACAUAUCACUUUUUCGACUUCUUCUUCAUCUUUAGGAGUGUUCUAACAGUGGCUCAAAAGCCAAGUAUAUUUUUCGCAACUUCCAUUUUUACCAUUGGCCUUUCAACGGUUCCUGACUGAUGUUAAUCUUCCUGACGACAUUCGCUGGGAUAGUGCAGUAUUGAUGGUAACGUCCUCUGUUUCUCCGCUUCGAACGGUAAGACGCAUGCAUUUCUGUUCUUCUGGUCACUCAAUUAUGUCGUAUGAUAAAAAGUCCGAAUCGGCACGGGUGACUGGUUGUAUUACGUAGAAUUCUUUGAGAGCAUACUGAACGCGGGUAUCUUUUAUACCCUUGAGUAGUAACGCUCUUUUUUCACAUUUAUUAGUUUAGGAUAGGUCUUCUUGCACAGCGCGAUUAUAAUAAUUAGUUUUUUAAUAAUUAAGUUAAACAUAUACACUUGAGAAUAUAUUCGUGUUAUUUAUAAAUAUGCAUAUCAAUAUUCCGUAUGAAUAUUUGCAAAUGACAAAUAUCUACACGAA